CCUACGGGUGGCAGCAGUGAGGAAUAUUGGUCAAUGGCCGGAAGGCUGAACCAGUCAAGCCGCGUGAGGGAGGAAGGCGCAGAGCGUCGCAGACCUCUUUUGUCGGGGGACAAAAGGCCGGACUCGUCCGGUCCUGAGGGUACCCGGAGAAAUAGCAUCGGCUAACUCCGUGCCAGCAGCCGCGGUAAUACGGAGGAUGCGAACGUUAUCCGGAUUCGUUGGGUUUAAAGGGUGCGCAGGCGGGUCUUUAAGCCGGCGGUGAAAUCGCGGGGCUCACCCCCGCCGAGCGGAGGGAACUGGGGGCCUUGAGUGCGGCGGGGGGAAGCGGAAUGCGCGGUGUAGCAGUGAAAUGCAUAGAUAUCGCGCAGAACCCCGAUGGCGAAGGCAGCGUGCCGUGCCGCCACUGACGCUGAGGCACGAAAGCACGGGGAGCGAACAGGAUUAGAUACCCGAGUAGUC
rnacentral:rRNA from 1 species